rnacentral:lncRNA from 1 species
AGCAUUCAAAAGAAGUUGGGUAGCUUGGCAAAGUGGAAGUUCUGCUUCCACAGUGGGAGCAGAGGGUGAAGAAAGUGGUCGUGGUUUAUGAAAAAUUGUCCUCAAAGUGUCCACUUUAAUGAGGGAGUCUGGAUGUAUCAAGAAACCAAACACAGAACGUGCAUCAGGACUGAGAACCAGUAAUGCUCAGCUUGAAUCCUUCAUUCCCAAAUCUGUCUCCCCAGGGACAGCUCAGGGAGCUGGGAAAACAAGGGUUGUGGUAAGUUCACAUCAGCUCCCCUCUACCUCUUUUCCUCCUCGUGCUUGUUCCCUGCUCCAGUGCGGGCCCUUCCCAG